rnacentral:rRNA from 1 species
UGAGGAAUAUUGGUCAAUGGGCGAGAGCCUGAACCAGCCAAGUAGCGUGAAGGAUGAAGGCUCUAUGGGUCGUAAACUUCUUUUAUAUGGGAAUAAAGUUUUCCACGUGUGGAAUUUUGUAUGUACCAUAUGAAUAAGGAUCGGCUAACUCCGUGCCAGCAGCCGCGGUAAUACGGAGGAUCCGAGCGUUAUCCGGAUUUAUUGGGUUUAAAGGGAGCGUAGGUGGAUUGUUAAGUCAGUUGUGAAAGUUUGCGGCUCAACCGUAAAAUUGCAGUUGAAACUGGCAGUCUUGAGUACAGUAGAGGUGGGCGGAAUUCGUGGUGUAGCGGUGAAAUGCUUAGAUAUCACGAAGAACUCCGAUUGCGAAGGCAGCUCACUAGACUGUCACUGACACUGAUGCUCGAAAGUGUGGGUAUCAAACAGG